AUGGGAACGCGAAGAACCUUACCUGGUCUUGACAUCCACAGAACUUAGCAGAGAUGCUUUGGUGCCUUCGGGAACUGUGAGACAGGUGCUGCAUGGCUGUCGUCAGCUCGUGUUGUGAAAUGUUGGGUUAAGUCCCGCAACGAGCGCAACCCUUAUCCUUUGUUGCCAGCGGUUAGGCCGGGAACUCAAAGGAGACUGCCAGUGAUAAACUGGAGGAAGGUGGGGAUGACGUCAAGUCAUCAUGGCCCUUACGACCAGGGCUACACACGUGCUACAAUGGCAUAUACAAAGAGAAGCGACCUCGCGAGAGCAAGCGGACCUCAUAAAGUAUGUCGUAGUCCGGAUUGGAGUCUGCAACUCGACUCCAUGAAGUCGGAAUCGCUAGUAAUCGUAGAUCAGAAUGCUACGGUGAAUACGUUCCCGGGUCUUGUACACACCG
rnacentral:rRNA from 1 species